GAAAUUUUUUAAUGCUGCCCAAAGCUUAGUGCUACCAAAUUUCAUUUCAAACAAUAGUCAGAUCAACAACAUAAAUCCUGCUAGUAGGAUAAAAUGCUAUGUUAAGUCAAUGUCCCAAAUACCACAGUCCUCUUUUCCUUUACUCUUCUUACUCCCUGUUUAGUUAGGUGCCACGAUUUGAGGGAUGAGGAGCAGAAGGAUAAGGUGCAGAAGAAGGAAGAAAGAGAGAGUCAGAGACAAAGAGAAGACAGGGAGAGCUCCUGCCAUUCUAAAAACCAUACCUUGUUCCAACAAUGAGAAAUUUUUAUUGUUGGUUGACUUGCGACUUCCAAUAAGCAUUGUUUUGACAAAAGAAAUGAGCAGAAGCAUCUAUGGAUUAUGAAGGACUAGCUCAGUAAACUCCGGAACUGAAUUGUAGCGUAUCAUAAUCAUAUUCCUCACAAUAAAAUCUGCUCACCCUGCCAGAAUGUGUUCUUGAAAUUUUACACAUGGGGCCCAAGAGAAUAAGGCACAGUGCUCCAGCACUCUAGGUUAAUGCCUCAUGAAAAAUGAAAGUAAGAAAAUUAAGAUAAGGAAAUACACAGUAAAGUACUAAGAGGCUACUGCUAACCUGCUAGAGGAUAAAAGGCCACUGGAGGAGAGCCAAGAUGUGCCAGCAACAGCCAGCCAAGCACCUGACCUGAAGGAAGCCAUCGAGGACCAGCCAAGCCCCAGCUGACCCAUUAACUUAUCCAGAAACGGCAGGCGACUCAUGAUAAGCCCAGAGAAGACUAGCAGGGAAACCACCAAAUUGAUCCCAUACCUUUAUUGUGAGCUAAAUAAUGACUGUUUUUUUAAGCCACUUAGUCUUGGG